UACAGAGGGUGCGAGCGUUGUCCGGAAUUACUGGGCGUAAAGGGCGCGUGGGCGGCCACCGCAAGUCAAUUGUGAAAUCUCCGGGCUUAACUCGGAAAGGUCAACUGAUACUGCGGGGCUAGAGUGCGGAAGGGGCAACUGGAAUUCUCGGUGUAGCGGUGAAAUGCGUAGAUAUCGAGAGGAACACCUGCGGCGAAGGCGGGUUGCUGGGCCGACACUGACGCUGAUGCGCGAAAGCCAGGGGAGCGAACGGG
rnacentral:rRNA from 1 species